GACAGAGGUCGCAAGCGUUGUUCGGAUUUACUGGGCGUAAAGGGCGUGUAGGCGGAUGUGCAAGUCGGGGGUGAAAGGCCAGGGCUCAACCCGGGACGGUCUCCCGAAACUGCGCAUCUCGAGAAAGUCAGAGGCAGGUGGAAUUCCAGGUGUAGAGGUGAAAUUCGUAGAGAUCUGGAGGAACACCGGCGGCGAAGGCGGCCUGCUGGGGCUUUUCUGACGCUGAGGCGCGAAAGCGUGGGGAGCAAACAGG
rnacentral:rRNA from 1 species